rnacentral:rRNA from 1 species
UACGUAGGGGGCAAGCGUUGUCCGGAUUUAUUGGGCGUAAAGAGCGUGUAGGCGGCUUUACAGGUCCGUUGUGAAAACUCGAGGCUCAACCUCGAGACGCCGGUGGAAACCGUAAGGCUAGAGUCCGGAAGAGGAGAGUGGAAUUCCUGGUGUAGCGGUGAAAUGCGCAGAUAAUCAGGAGGAACACCCGUGGCGAAAGCGGCUCUCUGGGACGGUACUGACGCUGAGACGCGAAAGCGUGGGGAGCAAACAGG